UACGUAGGGUGCGAGCGUUAAUCGGAAUUACUGGGCGUAAAGGGUGCGCAGGCGGUUAUAUAAGACAGAUGUGAAAUCCCCGGGCUCAACCUGGGAACUGCGUUUGUGACUGUAUGACUAGAGUACGGUAGAGAGGGGUGGAAUUCCUGGUGAGCUAGUGAAUGACGUAGAUAUCAGGAGGAACAUCGAUGGCGAAGGCAGCCCCU
rnacentral:rRNA from 1 species